AAAAAAUUUUUUGAAACGUAUUGGUUAGUUCUCUUUUAUUUGUUGAUCUGAAUUCUUCGACAAUAUUUGCUGUGAAUGUCGCUCUGGGAUUGAUCAGAUUAAGUUUAACUAGGAAGGCUUAACCAUCAUUGAUCACGACCCGCAACUCAAAUUAAUGAUUUUUACGGCGUGAUACUAAAAUAACGGGAAUUAAGGUGUAAUAAUAUUUCCGGAGACUCGAACGACACGUUAGAGAAAGAGUUUGAAUGACAGGUACCAUUUGAGAACCAGUGCAGUAAACGCCAUCGAAGUUAAAUAGCGUUAUUCUGGAAAACAUAGAUAUUAGAAUAGACAAAAAUGAGAUCAAACAAGUGAGAUAGACCAGGUAUUUAGGAGUGCUAUUUGAUGAAGGUUGGAUUUAUUGCAAGAGCGCGAGGUAGUUUGUCAAUGGGUACUAAAUUAAUGUUAUACAACAGCAUACCUGCUGCACAUCUGGAGUAUUGUUCUGCCUUAUUGUAUGGCCUAUCGGGUUAUAAAAUCAAACAACUGCAAAUUCGACAGAAUAGAGCAUUAAGAACUAUUUUAAGAUGCGGUAAAUACACAUCUAUUGCUACAAUGCAUAAUGCCUUCAACGUUAUGUCUGUUAAGCAAAAAAUUGUGUUCAAUGUUCAUGUGUUUUUCUUUAAGACAAAAAGUGGAAUGUUACCAGAAUACAUUUGUAAUUGAAUUAAGUUUUUUUUGGGGAUGUCAUUCUUAUAAUACUAGAAACCGACAUUAUUUUAUAUUGCCAGAAAGAUGUAAUACAAGUCAAAUGCUCAACUCCGUAAUGUCUAAGGGCUUGUUAGAUUGCAAUGUGUUGCCUAACCACAUAAAGCAUUGUGAUAGUUUUAGUGGUUUUAUAAAGCCGUUAAGAGCACAUUUAUUGUCUUUGACGUUUGAAUAAUAAAAAAAAAA